rnacentral:lncRNA from 1 species
AGGCCAGCCACUCAGGAUGGGGCCCUGUGCCCUGCUCACAUGGGCUGUGCUGGUCUUCAAACCGGCCUGAGGGUCAGCAGAACAUUCGCAGGUGGAGAUGGAAGGAGAAACAGCAUCCGCUCAGCACAAACCAUAAACAGCCGGUGCUCGGGUGUGGAGCUGGAGCCAUGCGUCUCUGUGGGGAGGAACAGGGGUUUGAGGGGAACAUGGGGACUGGGGCUCAAGGCACCUGGAUUUAAUCUUAGAGACGAAGGGGUGGGGAGGGAGUGCCCACGUGGGAUCUGUGCCCACGCGCACCGCCCUGUCUCUGUGCACGUGGACAGGGCCUGCACUGAGAGGAGACUCGCUGGCAGAGACUGGGCAGAUGUGAGCCCUCCCUGCGAUAGUCAGCCCUGCUCCUGAUGGCCAUGGAAGGAACAUUUUUCUCCACCCCACUAAGGUGGGCUUUGACCACGUGGACGCUGGUGGAUGUCUGCAGGCCCUGCAAUGUGUUCCAGGGAAUUGGCUUCAGGAAGAACAUGCCUGGAGCUCAGCAGAGUGAGGGGCACACAGAGCAGACCUGACUUGAGCCUCAGCCUGGACCCCCACCUGACACUCAGAGCCCUGGGGAGAGAGGCCGUGGAACCGCCCGGCAGCAUCACUGCCUCAGCACCUGCCAAGACGGAAAUGGGCACGUUCAGGUCAGAUAGGAGGCUGGGGCACACUCCUCCCUCGCCCCCGACCACCCACCCUCCAAGCCUUAGUUUAGGUGUUCCCUCCUCAGAUCAGCAUUCUCUGCCCUGAGCCACGGUGGCGCCUCACUCCAGGGCCUGCGUGCCUCCUGCCUGUCUGAGUCCAACCUCAGCUUCCCAGCCAGCAGCUCGGGAACCCACAAGGUCGUGCAGCUGCCGAGCCGAAAAACGAAAGAGCAACUCUCGCGUGCAGGUCGGCUGGGUGGGUGUACGGCUGCACGGCGAGGCAUCUGGAGUGAGGGAGGCUUGCUUCUCCUGCGGGGCCCUUGCUUUGUGUGUCUGGACAGGCGCCGUCCUCGUGGCUGCCUGGGACUGGGGCCUCUCUCCAUCAUCACAGUCCAGGAAGAGGGGUGGCCAGUCCUAGAGCUUGAGCUGAGCUGCCCUUGGGGCUGUGGAGAUGAGGAACUGAUGUUGAUGGUGCAGUCGGGAAGGGAGAUGUGACGGAUGACAAGGAGACCCCGAUUUAGCAGGAAGUGUGGAAUUCUGUGAUCCCGUGCUGCUGGUCCCUGCAGAGGUUUUGGCAGUCCCCAGACACUGCUGUCUUGAGAGGAAGAGGAGUCCAGGCAGCCGCAGCAGAACGCUGACCCCUCACUGGUCUGCUGACUCCUCACUGGUCUGCUGACCACACAGCACGGCCUUGGUCUCCAGGCUGGCCCCCUGGAGUCCUCAACCAGCCCCAGAGGGAAAGGAGGUUUGCCGGAGGGACCUUGUAGCCACACGUGUGGCCCCAGGAUGGCAAGGACAAGGCCGCUGGCGAGGUGGUGCUUGUUCCAUAAGGAGUGGUUACAGUCACUCAGCAAAUCCACCCCACGCCUGCCACGGGCUUCCCCCUCCCCUGGGCACCGCCGGCCACCCUAAGCUCAGAGACGUGGUGGAACCCCUCCCGUGUGGCGUGGUGCCGAGACUGAGGGAUGUGCAAGCUGUGAGGAGCAUGUGGCCACAGCCAGGUCUGAAAGACAGCACUCCAAACCAAGCAGAUCGUGUGAAACUGCUGGCCGAUGUGAUACAGAGACCAGGGUACAACUUGCUCUGUUUUCAAGAGGAGAGACUUUGGAGAACUGUUAUAAAAAAUGGUUGCUGUGUCUGCAGGAUCACACGGGAACUCCGCUGUAAAUAUUUCUGUGCCAAGGCAGCACAGUGUUGCAUGGGGGCCUGAGGGCCUGUGGGUUUGAUUCAUCCUUUCUAGGAUGUCUGCAACAUUUCUUGGAUGUGAAAGUUUGUUCUGAGCACGACAGUUGGAAAAUCACCGUCUGUGUCCUCUGAGCUAGGACUCACCUGCUGCAGGGAAGGAGCUUUGCUUAGCAGACCACGUCACACUCCCAGGAUGAUGAAGAGGGGAUCUCCUGCAGCGUCCUGGGGACAAACCCUGCUGGCAUCUGGCCAUGGGGGAAAGACAGCAUCCAGAGUGAAGGGGAUGGCAAUAGUCACCACAGUGGCUGGAGAUGAGCCCACACGGUCGUCUUCCCCAGCGGAGACGUUCCCUCCCGUAGGAGGGUGGGUCAGAGGAUACAGAAGGCGCCGGCAGUGACCAGGAGCAAUGUCCAGCCUCCUCUCCCCCAGCUCCUGGAAGCAGAUUCCGUCCGUGCACAGGAAGCUUUCCCGGUAAUUGGCUAACGCGCCACAUGACUGCUGUCCGCCAGGCUCUAGGAGGUGAGAAUUCCUCCUCAAAUUAACCUCACACCCAGAAACCCAUCAUCGCCACUUACCAGGAUGGGAAAGCACAGUGUCCUCUAAAGAAACUUAUAUUCAAGCUGAUGAUUAUACUCAGACAGCUAAUUAAGAACUAAUUAUUCAAAUGACGGAUCAAAGAACCGUGCAUGCACCCAGCUUUCCCCGGAGACUCGGGUCCCCUGGCACUUGCAUCUUGAGUUGGGGAAGAAUCCUCAGCCACAUAAGUGAGGACAUAUGUUUGCCAAGAAACCUCAUGUCUCCAUUCAUAGCGGUGUCUACUCAGAGGACACAGGAAAACACACACACACACACACACACACACACACACACACACACACCCGGGAGUCCUUGCAAAUGGUCCCAGGCUUCAUGAGAAGUCCGUGCUGGUGACAGUUGGAACGUGUUACUCUGGGGAUAGCCUAAUCACUACGAAAUUAAUUUUCUGAGCUCCUGAGAAACUUGCCUUCCUAAAAACCGAGAUGGAUGCAAAUGAACAAGGACUGAGCAGUCCGGAGCAGGUCCAUGGGGGUGGCAGCAGCACCCCUAACUCUGGCCGGGUGAGGGGCCCCGUCCAGGCAGCCUCAGUCCAGGCUCUAAGCAAACGCCGUGGCCCACAGGUGCUGCUUUUGGGAUGGCGUCGGGACACUCCUGCGGGGUAGCAGAGAGCUCGGCCCACCGACUAGCCGCUCUGCCCGCUGACCUGAGUGCUUCUCCGACCUCCGCAGUGGGCGUUCACCUCUAGACCUUCCUUCAUGUAAAUGUUUGGUUCCCAUAGCUGAGUCAAAUGCCCUUGAAAAUGCUUCCAUCAGGAAACAUUCAGACACCUAAAUAUAUACUUUGUAUCAAGUUUAAUGAA